UUUCCGUUGGUGAACCAGCGGAAGGAUCAUUACAGAGAUCAUGCCCCUCGCGGGUAGACCUCCCACCCUGUGUUAUUACGAUUGUUGCUUUGGCAGGCCGCCUUCGGGCACUCGGCUCCGGCUGAGGUGCGCCUGCCAGAGGACCCCAAACUCUGAAUGUUAGUGUCGUCUGAGUAAAAACAUAAUAAGUUAAAACUUUCAACAACGGAUCUCUUGGUUCUGGCAUCGAUGAAGAACGCAGC
rnacentral:misc_RNA from 1 species